rnacentral:rRNA from 1 species
CUGCCUGAUGGAGGGGGAUAACUACUGGAAACGGUGGCUAAUACCGCAUAACGUCGCAAGACCAAAGAGGGGGACCUUCGGGCCUCUUGCCAUCAGAUGUGCCCAGAUGGGAUUAGCUAGUUGGUGAGGUAACGGCUCACCAAGGCGACGAUCCCUAGCUGGUCUGAGAGGAUGACCAGCCACACUGGAACUGAGACACGGUCCAGACUCCUACGGGAGGCAGCAGUGGGGAAUAUUGCACAAUGGGCGCAAGCCUGAUGCAGCCAUGCCGCGUGUAUGAAGAAGGCCUUCGGGUUGUAAAGUACUUUCAGCGGGGAGGAAGGUGUUGUGGUUAAUAACCGCAGCAAUUGACGUUACCCGCAGAAGAAGCACCGGCUAACUCCGUGCCAGCAGCCGCGGUAAUACGGAGGGUGCAAGCGUUAAUCGGAAUUACUGGGCGUAAAGCGCACGCAGGCGGUCUGUCAAGUCGGAUGUGAAAUCCCCGGGCUCAACCUGGGAACUGCAUUCGAAACUGGCAGGCUUGAGUCUUGUAGAGGGGGGUAGAAUUCCAGGUGUAGCGGUGAAAUGCGUAGAGAUCUGGAGGAAUACCGGUGGCGAAGGCGGCCCCCUGGACAAAGACUGACGCUCAGGUGCGAAAGCGUGGGGAGCAAACAGGAUUAGAUACC